AAGCGGUGGAGCAUGUGGUUUAAUUCGAAGCAACGCGAAGAACCUUUACCAGGUCUUGACAUCCCGAUGCUAUUUCUAGAGAUUAGAAAGUUUACUUCGGUACAUCGGUGACAGGUGGUGCAUGGUUGUCGUCAGCUCGUGUCGUGAGAUGUUGGGUUAAGUCCCGCAACGAGUGCAACCCCUAUUGUUAGUUGCCAUCAUUCAGUUGGGCACUCUAGCGAGACUGCCGGUAAUAAACCGGAGGAAGGUGGGAUGACGUCAAAUCAUCAUGCCCCUUAUGUUCUGGGCUACACACGUGCUACAAUGGCCGGUACAGACGGACGCAAAGCCGCGAGGUGGAGCAAAUCCUAAAAAGCCGGUCUCAGUUCGGAUUGCAGGCUGCAAUUCGCCUGCAUGAAGUCGGAAUCGCUAGUAAUCGCAGGUCAGCAUACUGCGGUGAAUACGUUCCCGGGCCUU
rnacentral:rRNA from 1 species